AUUGAACGCUGGCGGCAGGCCUAACACAUGCAAGUCGAACGAGUGGCGGACGGGUGAGUAAUGUCUGGGAAACUGCCUGAUGGAGGGGGAUAACUACUGGAAACGGUAGCUAAUACCGCAUACCAUCGGAUGUGCCCAGAUGGGAUUAGCUAGUAGGUGGGGAAACGGCUCACCUAGGCGACGAUCCCUAGCGGGUCUGAGAGGAUGACCAUCCACACUGGAACUGUGAAAAGGUCCAGACUCCUACGGGAGGCAGCAGUGGGGAAGAUUGCACAAUGGGCGCAAGCCUGAUGCAGCCAUGCCGCGUGUAUGAAGAAGGCCUUCGGGUUGUAAAGUACUUUCAGCGGGGAGGCGUUACCCGCAGAAGAAGCACCGGCUAACUCCGUGCCAGCAGCCGCGGUAAUUC
rnacentral:rRNA from 1 species